CCUACGGGGCGCAGCAGUGAGGAAUAUUGGUCAAUGGACGAGAGUCUGAACCAGCCAAGUAGCGUGAAGGAUGACUGCCCUAUGGGUUGUAAACUUCUUUUAUAAAGGAAUAAAACGAGGCACGUGUGCCUUUUUGCAUGCACUUUAUGAAUAAGGAUCGGCUAACUCCGUGCCAGCAGCCGCGGUAAUACGGAGGAUCCGAGCGUUCUCCGGAUUUGUUGGGUUUAAAGGGAGCGUAGAUGGGUUGUUAAGUCAGUUGUGAAAGUUUGCGGCUCAACCGUAAAAUUGCAAUUGAUACUGGCAGUCUUGAGUACAGUUGAGGUAGGCGGAAUUCGUGGUGUAGCGGUGAAAUGCUUAGAUAUCACGAAGAACCCCGAUUGCGAAGGCAGCUUACUAAACUGUGACUGACAUUGAUGCUCGAAAGUGUGGGUAUCAAACAGGAUUAGAUACCCUUGUAGUC
rnacentral:rRNA from 1 species